rnacentral:rRNA from 1 species
AGUCACUGACAUUAGAUACCCCCUGUAGUCCAGGGUGUAAACGCUGCAGACUUGGUGUUGGAAGCCCUUUGGGGGCAUUCAGUGCCGGAGAGAAGUUGUUAAGUCUGCUACUUGGGGAGUACGUCCGCAAGGAUGAAACUUAAAGGAAUUGGCGGGGGAGCACCGCAACGGGAGGAGCGUGCGGUUUAAUUGGAUUCAACACCGUAAACUCACCAGGGAAGACUGUUACAUGAAGGCCGAGAUGAAGACUCUGCUAGAUUUUUCAG